CAGCCGUGCGUUGAGCAGAUAGCGAACUAUUCUUUCACCUUUUAUUAAAGUAUACUGUGUGCUCGCUGUUUAAAAGUAGCAUACACCAUUUUUUGGAGGUGUGUUCCUGUACGGGAU